AUUUAAAUAGUUUAAUUGCAAAACAUUAUAUUUUCAUUAUAAAAAUAAAAAAAUUUUUUUUUAAAUA
rnacentral:tRNA from 1 species